AUUGAACACUGGCGGCAUGCCUAACACAUGCAAGUCGAACGGUAACGCGGAGAGCUUGCUCCCGGGCGACGAGUGGCGGACGGGUGAGUAAUACUUAGGAAUCUGCCCAGUAGUCGGGGGACAACUCGAGGAAACUCGAGCUAAUACCGCAUACGCCCUACGGGGGAAAGCGGGGGAUCUUCGGACCUCGCGCUAUUGGAUGAGCCUAAGUCGGAUUAGCUUGUAGGUAGGGUAACGGCCUACCUAGGCGACGAUCCGUAGCUGGUCUGAGAGGAUGAUCAGCCACACUGGGACUGAGACACGGCCCAGACUCCUACGGGAGGCAGCAGUGGGGAAUAUUGGACAAUGGGCGCAAGCCUGAUCCAGCAAUGCCGCGUGUGUGAAGAAGGCCUGCGGGUUGUAAAGCACUUUUAUCGGGAAAGAAAAACCCAGGGUUAAUACCCCUGGCAUUGACGGUACCCGAAGAAUAAGCACCGGCUAACUCCGUG
rnacentral:rRNA from 1 species